rnacentral:tRNA from 1 species
GCCCUUGUAGCUCAGUUUGGAUUAGAGCACGUCCCUCCUAAGGACGGGGUCGCAGGUUCAAGUCCUGUCAAGGGCG